AUGCGAUACUUGGUGUGAAUUGCAGAAUCUCGUGAACCAUUGAGUCUUUGAACGCAAGUUGUGCCCGAGGCCUUGUGGUCGAGGGCACGCCUGCUUGGGCGUCAUGA
rnacentral:rRNA from 4 species